rnacentral:rRNA from 1 species
GGGCAACCUGCCUGUAAGACUGGGAUAACUCCGGGAAACCGGGGCUAAUACCGGAUAAUUCUUUCCCUCACAUGARGGAAAGCUGAAAGAUGGUUUCGGCUAUCACUUACAGAUGGGCCCGCGGCGCAUUAGCUAGUUGGUGAGGUAACGGCUCACCAAGGCAACGAUGCGUAGCCGACCUGAGAGGGUGAUCGGCCACACUGGGACUGAGACACGGCCCAGACUCCUACGGGAGGCAGCAGUAGGGAAUCUUCCGCAAUGGACGAAAGUCUGACGGAGCAACGCCGCGUGAGUGAUGAAGGUUUUCGGAUCGUAAAACUCUGUUGUUAGGGAAGAACAAGUACCGGAGUAACUGCC